GAUGAACGCUAGCGACAGGCCUAACACAUGCAAGUCGAGGGGCAGCACAAGGGUAGCAAUACUCUGGUGGCGACCGGCGCACGGGUGAGUAUCGCGUAUGCAACCUACCUACCACAGGGGGAUAGCCUUCCGAACGGGAGAUUAAUACCCCAUGAAACAGGGGUCCCGCAUGGGGAUAUUUGUUAAAGAUUUAUCGGUGGUAGAUGGGCAUGCGUUCCAUUAGCGAGUUGGCGGGGUAACGGCUCACCAAGGCGACGAUGGAUAGGGGAACUGAGAGGUUUAUCCCCCACACUGGGACUGAGACACGGCCCAGACUCCUACGGGAGGCAGCAGUGAGGAAUAUUGGUCAAUGGGCGGGAGCCUGAACCAGCCAAGUCGCGUGGAGGACGACGGUUCUAUGGAUUGUAAACUCCUUUUGCACUGGGGUAAAACGGGGGACGUGUCCCCCCUUGCAAGUACAGUGCGAAUAAGCAUCGGCUAACUCCGUGCCAGCCGCCGCCGUAAAAC
rnacentral:rRNA from 1 species